rnacentral:rRNA from 1 species
UACAUAGGUCUCAAGCGUUGUUCGGAUUCAUUGGGCGUAAAGGGUGUGUAGGUGGCGCCGUAAGUCGGGUGUGAAAUUUCGGAGCUUAACUCCGAAACUGCAUUCGAUACUGCGGUGCUUGAGGACUGGAGAGGAGACUGGAAUUCAUGGUGUAGCAGUGAAAUGCGUAGAGAUCAUGAGGAAGACCAGUGGCGAAGGCGGGUUGCUGGGCUGAUACUGACGCUGAGGCGCGAAAGCUAGGGGAGCGAACGGG